UGCAUUCGACCUAUUCAACAA
rnacentral:siRNA from 1 species